GUGGGGAAUAUUGCGCAAUGGGGGAAACCCUGACGCAGCGACGCCGUGUGAGGGAAGAAGGCUUUCGGGUCGUAAACCUCUGUCAGAAAGGAAGAACCUCCCAAGUCCGAAUAGGGCUUGGGACUGACGGUACUUUCAAAGGAAGCACCGGCUAACUCCGUGCCAGCAGCCGCGGUAAUACGGAGGGUGCAAGCGUUAAUCGGAAUCACUGGGCGUAAAGCGCGCGUAGGCCGCUUUGUAAGUCGGACGUGAAAGCCCUCGGCUCAACCGGGGAACUGCGUUCGAUACUGCGAGGCUUGAGUCCUGGAGAGGGUGGCGGAAUUCCGGGUGUAGGAGUGAAAUCCGUAGAUAUCCGGAGGAACACCGGUGGCGAAGGCGGCCACCUGGACAGGUACUAACGCUGAGGCGCGAAAGCGUGGGGAGCAAACAGGAUUAGAAACCAGUGUAGUCC
rnacentral:rRNA from 1 species